rnacentral:rRNA from 1 species
UACGUAGGUCCCGAGCGUUGUCCGGAUUUAUUGGGCGUAAAGCGAGCGCAGGCGGUUUGAUAAGUCUGAAGUUAAAGGCUGUGGCUCAACCAUAGUUCGCUUUGGAAACUGUCAAACUUGAGUGCAGAAGGGGAGAGUGGAAUUCCAUGUGUAGCGGUGAAAUGCGUAGAUAUAUGGAGGAACACCGGUGGCGAAAGCGGCUCUCUGGUCUGUAACUGACGCUGAGGCUCGAAAGCGUGGUGAGCGAACAGG